GAAAUGCGAUAAGUAAUGUGAAUUGCAGAAUUCCGUGAAUCAUCGAAUCUUUGAACGCACAUUGCGCCCUCUGGCAUUCCGGGGGGCAUGCCUGUCCGAGCGUCAUUACGCACCCUCAAGCCCGGCUUGUGUGAUGGGCCCCGGCGUCUCGUUCGCGAGACGGGCCCGAAAGGCAGCGGCGGCGUCGACCCGAUGCGCCCGAGCGUAUGGGGACUUCUGUCACACGUUCGCGGUGCGGACCGGCGCCUGCUUGACUUUUCUGAUUAUCCAGGUUGACCUCGGAUCAGGUAGGGAUACCCGCUGAACUUAAGC
rnacentral:misc_RNA from 1 species